rnacentral:rRNA from 1 species
CCUACGGGGUGCAGCAGUGAGGAAUAUUGGUCAAUGGACGCAAGUCUGAACCAGCCAUGCCGCGUGCAGGAAGACGGCUCUAUGAGUUGUAAACUGCUUUUGUACGAGGGUAAACGCAGAUACGCGUAUCUGUCUGAAAGUAUCGUACGAAUAAGGAUCGGCUAACUCCGUGCCAGCAGCCGCGGUAAUACGGAGGAUUCAAGCGUUAUCCGGAUUUAUUGGGGUUAAGGGGUGCGUAGGCGGUCGGAUAAGUUAGAGGUGAAAUCCCGAGGCUCAACUUCGGAAUUGCCUCUGAUACUGUUCGGCUAGAGAGUAGUUGCGGUAGGCGGAAUGUAUGGUGUAGCGGUGAAAUGCUUAGAGAUCAUACAGAACACCGAUUGCGAAGGCAGCUUACUAAGCUACUUCUGACGUUGAGGCACGAAAGCGUGGGGAGCAAACAGGAUUAGAUACCCUGGUAGUC